GACGUAGGGCGCGAGCGUUGUCCGGAUUUAUUGGGCGUAAAGAGCUCGUAGGCGGCUUGUCGCGUCGUCUGUGAAAUCCCGCGGCUCAACCGCGGGUCUGCAGUCGAUACGGGCAGGCUAGAGUGUGGUAGGGGAGAUCGGAAUUCCUGGUGUAGCGGUGAAAAUGCGCAGAUAUCAGGAGGAAUACCGAUGGCGAAGGCAGGUCUCUGGGCUGACACUGACGCUCAUGCACGAAAGCGUGGGGAGCGAAA
rnacentral:rRNA from 1 species